GGGCUGGGCGGCGUGCUAUACAUGCAAGUCGAGCGAAUGGAUUAAGAGCUUGCUCUUAUGAAGUUAGCGGCGGACGGGUGAGUAACACGUGGGUAACCUGCCCAUAAGACUGGGAUAACUCCGGGAAACCGGGGCUAAUACCGGAUAACAUUUUGAACCGCAUGGUUCGAAAUUGAAAGGCGGCUUCGGCUGUCACUUAUGGAUGGACCCGCGUCGCAUUAGCUAGUUGGUGAGGUAACGGCUCACCAAGGCAACGAUGCGUAGCCGACCUGAGAGGGUGAUCGGCCACACUGGGACUGAGACACGGCCCAGACUCCUACGGGAGGCAGCAGUAGGGAAUCUUCCGCAAUGGACGAAAGUCUGACGGAGCAACGCCGCGUGAGUGAUGAAGGCUUUCGGGUCGUAAAACUCUGUUGUUAGGGAAGAACAAGUGCUAGUUGAAUAAGCUGGCACCUUGACGGUACCUAACCAGAAAGCCACGGCUAACUACGUGCCAGCAGCCGCGGUAAUACGUAGGUGGCAAGCGUUAUCCGGAAUUAUUGGGCGUAAAGCGCGCGCAGGUGGUUUCUUAAGUCUGAUGUGAAAGCCCACGGCUCAACCGUGGAGGGUCAUUGGAAACUGGGAGACUUGAGUGCAGAAGAGGAAAGUGGAAUUCCAUGUGUAGCGGU
rnacentral:rRNA from 2 species